rnacentral:rRNA from 1 species
AUGCCCCUCCUCCUGUCUGCACCACGCCAUGGCCCUCCUGAGGCCAACACCGCACAACGUCUGGGUUGGCCUUCUCCUUGUCUAUGCACCACAUCGUUGCUCGUUGCAUGUCAAGACCGCCUCCAUGAUACUCGUCAAGUACACCAUCGGCAAGACCAUAUGGAUGCUCGUACCAGAACAGACCGAAACGCUUCCUCUACGAUCCGUGCACGACUACGGGGAUUCACCAAGUACCUUCGGAUGCGCCAAGUUCGUCUACACAAAACGCCAAGUACCACUCAUGUUGGCAAGACCCGCAAGUCGGACCCCGAACGAUCGACGUCUCGUGGACCGUGUACAACUACCGUCGCCCUUGAAGACGUUGGAGUCAUCAAGUACCUCUCCGAACGAACGCGAACGACUACCGUCGCAAGAACGGGACCGGAAAGUACGAAGACCCCAAGUACCCCGACGACCCUGAACAUCUACGAUUGUGUACGACUACCGCCGCCGUGGUUUUCGACAAGACGUCGUGAGCCUCUACUUCCGCUACCGCUCCGAUGA